rnacentral:lncRNA from 1 species
GCCGGGGCUGCGGGGCGCCGGCGCAAGGGCCAGCCUGGCGCUGCUCUCGCUGCUUGGCCGGCGCCCGCUCUUCAGCGCUGGGCAGCAGCAGAAGGGCGCCGGGGUUAUGUGAAAUCGGGAGGGUUUGCGUCUCUUCGGGGCCUUUCGGCCUCUUGAGGGAACCCGAUCUGUUUGUAUUUAUAUGAAGCGUGCGUAGAGUGUAGUUACCAGGCGCGCGAUACGUAGUGAGGGGUGGGGGAGAAGGAUGAAGGUAAUUUAAAGCGAGUCCGUAACAUCGCUCCUUGGGAGCGGCUAGCCGGGUUCAGACCCUGUGGGAAGGGUCCUGGAGGAAGGAGCCAAGCGCUCGGCUGGAGCUUGGGCGACCGGAGAUCCUCUCUGCGAACGAAAAUGCAGCUUAUAUUCCGGUGCAGCUUAUAUACGGACAAAGACCUAAACGUUAUCGACACCCAGACGUGCGGCUUAUAAUCAGUGGGACAGGUCUUCUCCCCAGCUGCUGACACUUGGUAAAGGAAAGGGGCUGAACCCAGUGAGUUGAAGAAAGAAGCAAAGCAAGAAGAUGGGAAAGGAAGGAAAUUGCAUUGAAGGUUGGAUGGGUGCGUGCGAUUCAGUAGAGUGCCUACCUGAUCUCCAAAAAAUGAAAAGAGUAGCAAAUUGAAAGUUUGAGUAACUUUACCUCAGUCAGCUUUUUAUUCUUGUUCUGCUGACCAAGUGCAUCAGUAGUUUUUCUUUCUCUGCAGCUGGCUUUUUUCGUCAGUCUCUUCCCACACAGAACUUUAUAAUAUUUUUUUUUCUAAAAUUAACUCCAAACCUUAAACUGUUGUUCUUAAGCACUGAUGUUCUGUGCCAACAAUUAUUUUAUACUGUCCUUUUGCUAGCCUAGAACAUAAUUAAGCAUGUUCACAGCUGUUCAGUUCUUGAUGCAAAAGAUUCCCUCAGCUUGCAUUGAU